rnacentral:rRNA from 1 species
GCCUGAAUCAGCAUGUGUGUUAGUGGAAGCGUCUGGAAAGUCGCGCGAUACAGGGUGACAGCCCCGUACACAAAAGCGCAUGUGUUGUGAGCUCGAUGAGUAGGGCGGGACACGUGGUAUCCUGUCUGAAUAUGGGGGGACCAUCCUCCAAGGCUAAAUACUCCUGACUGACCGAUAGUGAACCAGUACCGUGAGGGAAAGGCGAAAAGAACCCCGGCGAGGGGAGUGAAAAAGAACCUGAAACCGUGUACGUACAAGCAGUGGGAGCACAGGUUUACCUGUGUGACUGCGUACCUUUUGUAUAAUGGGUCAGCGACUUAUAUUCUGUAGCAAGGUUAACCGUAUAGGGGAGCCGGAGGGAAACCGAGUCUUAAUUGGGCGUUAAGUUGCAGGGUAUAGACCCGAAACCCGGUGAUCUAGCCAUGGGCAGGUUGAAGGUUGGGUAACACUAACUGGAGGACCGAACCGACUAAUGUUGAAAAAUUAGCGGAUGACCUGUGGCUGGGGGUGAAAGGCCAAUCAAACCGGGAGAUAGCUGGUUCUCCCCGAAAGCUAUUUAGGUAGCGCCUCGUGAAUUCAUCUCCGGGGGUAGAGCACUGUUUCGGCUAGGGGGCCAUCCCGGCUUACCAACCCGAUGCAAACUGCGAAUACCGGAGAAUGUUAUCACGGGAGACACACGGCGGGUGCUAACGUCCGUCGUGAAGAGGGAAACAACCCAGACCGCCAGCUAAGGUCCCAAAGUCAUGGUUAAGUGGGAAACGAUGUGGGAAGGCCCAGACAGCCAGGAUGUUGGCUUAGAAGCAGCCAUCAUUUAAAGAAAGCGUAAUAGCUCACUGGUCGAGUCGGCCUGCGCGGAAGAUGUAACGGGGCUAAACCAUGCACCGAAGCUGCGGCAGCGACACUGUGUGUUGUUGGGUAGGGGAGCGUUCUGUAAGCCUGUGAAGGUGUGUCGUGAGGCAUGCUGGAGGUAUCAGAAGUGCGAAUGCUGACAUAAGUAACGAUAAAGCGGGUGAAAAGCCCGCUCGCCGGAAGACCAAGGGUUCCUGUCCAACGUUAAUCGGGGCAGGGUGAGUCGACCCCUAAGGCGAGGCCGAAAGGCGUAGUCGAUGGGAAACGGGUUAAUAUUCCCGUACUUGGUGUUACUGCGAAGGGGGGACGGAGAAGGCUAUGUUGGCCGGGCGACGGUUGUCCCGGUUUAAGCGUGUAGGUGUGUGUUCCAGGUAAAUCCGGUUCACUUUAACACUGAGGCGUGACGACGAGGCACUACGGUGCUGAAGCAACAAAUGCCCUGCUUCCAGGAAAAGCCUCUAAGCAUCAGGUAACAUCAAAUCGUACCCCAAACCGACACAGGUGGUCAGGUAGAGAAUACCAAGGCGCUUGAGAGAACUCGGGUGAAGGAACUAGGCAAAAUGGUGCCGUAACUUCGGGAGAAGGCACGCUGACACGUAGGUGAAGUGAUUUACUCAUGGAGCUGAAGUCAGUCGAAGAUACCAGCUGGCUGCAACUGUUUAUUAAAAACACAGCACUGUGCAAACACGAAAGUGGACGUAUACGGUGUGACGCCUGCCCGGUGCCGGAAGGUUAAUUGAUGGGGUCAGCGCAAGCGAAGCUCCUGAUCGAAGCCCCGGUAAACGGCGGCCGUAACUAUAACGGUCCUAAGGUAGCGAAAUUCCUUGUCGGGUAAGUUCCGACCUGCACGAAUGGCGUAAUGAUGGCCAGGCUGUCUCCACCCGAGACUCAGUGAAAUUGAACUCGCUGUGAAGAUGCAGUGUACCCGCGGCAAGACGGAAAGACCCCGUGAACCUUUACUAUAGCUUGACACUGAACAUUGAGCCUUGAUGUGUAGGAUAGGUGGGAGGCUUUGAAGCGUGGACGCCAGUCUGCGUGGAGCCGACCUUGAAAUACCACCCUUUAAUGUUUGAUGUUCUAACGUGGACCCGUGAUCCGGGUUGCGGACAGUGUCUGGUGGGUAGUUUGACUGGGGCGGUCUCCUCCUAAAGAGUAACGGAGGAGCACGAAGGUUGGCUAAUCCUGGUCGGACAUCAGGAGGUUAGUGCAAUGGCAUAAGCCAGCUUGACUGCGAGCGUGACGGCGCGAGCAGGUGCGAAAGCAGGUCAUAGUGAUCCGGUGGUUCUGAAUGGAAGGGCCAUCGCUCAACGGAUAAAAGGUACUCCGGGGAUAACAGGCUGAUACCGCCCAAGAGUUCAUAUCGACGGCGGUGUUUGGCACCUCGAUGUCGGCUCAUCACAUCCUGGGGCUGAAGUAGGUCCCAAGGGUAUGGCUGUUCGCCAUUUAAAGUGGUACGCGAGCUGGGUUUAGAACGUCGUGAGACAGUUCGGUCCCUAUCUGCCGUGGGCGCUGGAGAACUGAGGGGGGCUGCUCCUAGUACGAGAGGACCGGAGUGGACGCAUCACUGGUGUUCGGGUUGUCAUGCCAAUGGCACUGCCCGGUAGCUAAAUGCGGAAGAGAUAAGUGCUGAAAGCAUCUAAGCACGAAACUUGCCCCGAGAUGAGUUCUCCCUGAGACUUUAGGUCUCCUGAAGGAACGUUGAAGACG